UACGAAGGGGGCUAGCGUUGCUCGGAAUUACUGGGCGUAAAGCGCACGUAGGCGGAUUGUUAAGUCGGGGGUGAAAUCCUGGAGCUCAACUCCAGAACUGCCUUCGAUACUGGCGAUCUAGAGUCCGGGAGAGGUGAGUGGAACUGCGAGUGUAGAGGUGAAAUUCGUAGAUAUUCGGAAGAACACCAGUGGCGAAGGCGGCUCACUGGUCCGGUACUGACGCUGAUGUGCGAAAGCGUGGGGAGCAAACAGG
rnacentral:rRNA from 1 species